rnacentral:tRNA from 1 species
GGGCGUGUAGCUCAGUGGAUUAGAGCACGUUGUUACGAACUACGGUGCCAGGGGUUCAAAUCCCUUCUCGCCCA